rnacentral:lncRNA from 1 species
GGCAGCACCGGGCAAACCCACUCCUCCACCCUGCCCCCCGGGGCCUGAGUCACCGUCUGAACAACCAGGGAGUCAUGGGGGUGGAGAAGCAGAGCCCAGAAAGCGGGCUAGCCUGCACGCACGCCAAGAUGGAGCUCCAGGCUAGCCCACAGAACAGCCCAGCCGCAGCCGUCCUACCAGACCAGCACCUUGUAACCACAGUCUAACCCAGCGGGCACCAGGCGAUUGUGAGUGCCACGGGGCUGAGGCCUGCGCCGACCUGGUCUGCUGGUGCUACCAGGCUUGAACAGUCUUCAAAUCCACUGCUAUUAGGCAAAUUACCUGGCUCCCGCUGAACUCCAGCACCUAGAACUAUGUCACACUCGUAGUAGGCCGCUGCAUUGGUUGAACAAAUGAUUUUGAAAGAAUGAAUGUCUUCCUCUGUGCCUGCAUUUCCUCAGAAGGCUGUAACAAAGAUUAAAUAGGAAAAUUCGUGGAAAGUUCAAU